rnacentral:rRNA from 1 species
CACUAUCGUUAACUGAAUACAUAGGUUAACGAGGCGAACCGGGGGAACUGAAACAUCUAAGUACCCCGAGGAAAAGAAAUCAACCGAGAUUCCCCCAGUAGCGGCGAGCGAACGGGGAGCAGCCCAGAGUCUGAAUCAGCUUGUGUGUUAGUGGAACGGUCUGGAAAGUCCGACGGUACAGGGUGAUAGUCCCGUACACCAAAAUGCACAGGCUGUGAACUCGAAGAGUAGGGCGGGACACGUGGUAUCCUGUCUGAAUAUGGGGGGACCAUCCUCCAAGGCUAAAUACUCCUGACUGACCGAUAGUGAACCAGUACCGUGAGGGAAAGGCGAAAAGAACCCCGGCGAGGGGAGUGAAAAAGAACCUGAAACCGUGUACGUACAAGCAGUGGGAGCACCUUCGGGUGUGACUGCGUACCUUUUGUAUAAUGGGUCAGCGACUUAUAUUCUGUAGCAAGGUUAACCGUAUAGGGGAGCCGCAGGGAAACCGAGUCUUAACUGGGCGUUAAGUUGCAGGGUAUAGACCCGAAACCCGGUGAUCUAGCCAUGGGCAGGUUGAAGGUUGGGUAACACUAACUGGAGGACCGAACCGACUAAUGUUGAAAAAUUAGCGGAUGACUUGUGGCUGGGGGUGAAAGGCCAAUCAAACCGGGAGAUAGCUGGUUCUCCCCGAAAGCUAUUUAGGUAGCGCCUCGUGAACUCAUCUUCGGGGGUAGAGCACUGUUUCGGCUAGGGGGUCAUCCCGACUUACCAACCCGAUGCAAACUACGAAUACCGAAGAAUGUUAUCACGGGAGACACACGGCGGGUGCUAACGUCCGUCGUGAAGAGGGAAACAACCCAGACCGCCAGCUAAGGUCCCAAAGUCAUGGUUAAGUGGGAAACGAUGUGGGAAGGCACAGACAGCCAGGAUGUUGGCUUAGAAGCAGCCAUCAUUUAAAGAAAGCGUAAUAGCUCACUGGUCGAGUCGGCCUGCGCGGAAGAUGUAACGGGGCUAAACCAUGCACCGAAGCUGCGGCAGCGACACUAUGUGUUGUUGGGUAGGGGAGCGUUCUGUAAGCCUGCGAAGGUGNNNNNNNNNNNNNNNNNNNNUGCUGGAGGUAUCAGAAGUGCGAAUGCUGACAUAAGUAACGAUAAAGCGGGUGAAAAGCCCGCUCGCCGGAAGACCAAGGGUUCCUGUCCAACGUUAAUCGGGGCAGGGUGAGUCGACCCCUAAGGCGAGGCCGAAAGGCGUAGUCGAUGGGAAACAGGUUAAUAUUCCUGUACUUGGUGUUACUGCGAAGGGGGGACGGAGAAGGCUAUGUUAGCCGGGCGACGGUUGUCCCGGUUUAAGCAUGUAGGCUGAUUGUCCAGGCAAAUCCGGAUAAUCAAGGCUGAGGUGUGAUGACGAGGCACUACGGUGCUGAAGUAACAAAUGCCCUGCUUCCAGGAAAAGCCUCUAAGCAUCAGGUAACAUUAAAUCGUACCCCAAACCGACACAGGUGGUCAGGUAGAGAAUACCAAGGCGCUUGAGAGAACUCGGGUGAAGGAACUAGGCAAAAUGGUGCCGUAACUUCGGGAGAAGGCACGCUGGUGUGUAGGUGAAGCCCCUGCGGGUGGAGCUGAGACCAGUCGAAGAUACCAGCUGGCUGCAACUGUUUAUUAAAAACACAGCACUGUGCAAACACGAAAGUGGACGUAUACGGUGUGACGCCUGCCCGGUGCCGGAAGGUUAAUUGAUGGGGUUAUCCGUAAGGAGAAGCUCUUGAUCGAAGCCCCGGUAAACGGCGGCCGUAACUAUAACGGUCCUAAGGUAGCGAAAUUCCUUGUCGGGUAAGUUCCGACCUGCACGAAUGGCGUAAUGAUGGCCAGGCUGUCUCCACCCGAGACUCAGUGAAAUUGAACUCGCUGUGAAGAUGCAGUGUACCCGCGGCAAGACGGAAAGACCCCGUGAACCUUUACUAUAGCUUGACACUGAACAUUGAGCCUUGAUGUGUAGGAUAGGUGGGAGGCUUUGAAGCGUGGACGCCAGUCUGCGUGGAGCCAACCUUGAAAUACCACCCUUUAAUGUUUGAUGUUCUAACGUUGGCCCCUGACCGGGGUUGCGGACAGUGUCUGGUGGGUAGUUUGACUGGGGCGGUCUCCUCCCAAAGCGUAACGGAGGAGCACGAAGGUUAGCUAAUCCUGGUCGGACAUCAGGAGGUUAGUGCAAUGGCAUAAGCUAGCUUGACUGCGAGCGUGACGGCGCGAGCAGGUGCGAAAGCAGGUCAUAGUGAUCCGGUGGUUCUGAAUGGAAGGGCCAUCGCUCAACGGAUAAAAGGUACUCCGGGGAUAACAGGCUGAUACCGCCCAAGAGUUCAUAUCGACGGCGGUGUUUGGCACCUCGAUGUCGGCUCAUCACAUCCUGGGGCUGAAGUAGGUCCCAAGGGUAUGGCUGUUCGCCAUUUAAAGUGGUACGCGAGCUGGGUUUAGAACGUCGUGAGACAGUUCGGUCCCUAUCUGCCGUGGGCGCUGGAGAAUUGAGGGGGGCUGCUCCUAGUACGAGAGGACCGGAGUGGACGCAUCACUGGUGUUCGGGUUGUCAUGCCAAUGGCACUGCCCGGUAGCUAAAUGCGGAAGAGAUAAGUGCUGAAAGCAUCUAAGCACGAAACUUGCCCCGAGAUGAGUUCUCCCUGAGACUUUAAGUCUCCUGAAGGAACGUUAAAGACGAUGACGUUGAUAGGCCGGGUGUGUAAGCGCAGCGAUGCGUUGAGCUAACCGGUACUAAUGAACCGUGAGGCUUAACCUU